rnacentral:rRNA from 1 species
GUGGAGCAAUCCAUGAGUAAAGUGGCGCACGGGUGAGUAACACGUGACUAACCUACCCUGGAGUGGGGGAUAACUGAGGGAAACCUUAGCUAAUACCGCAUAACACCUACGGGUCAAAGGAGCAAUUCGCUUCAGGAGGGGGUCGCGGCAGAUUAGUUAGUUGGCGGGGUAACGGCCCACCAAGACAGUGAUCUGUAUCCGGCCUGAGAGGGCGCACGGACACACUGGAACUGAAACACGGUCCAGACUCCUACGGGAGGCAGCAGUGGGGAAUUUUGCGCAAUGGGGGAAACCCUGACGCAGCAACGCCGCGUGGAGGAUGAAGUCCUUCGGGACGUAAACUCCUUUCGAUCGGGACGAUAAUGACGGUACCGAGAGAAGAAGCCCCGGCUAACUUCGUGCCAGCAGCCGCGGUAAUACGAGGGGGGCGAGCGUUGUUCGGAAUUAUUGGGCGUAAAGGGUGCGUAGGCGGUUUGGUAAGUCUGAUGUGAAAUCUAUGGGCUCAACUCAUAGUCUGCAUCGGAAACUGCCGGGCUUGAGUAUGGGAGAGGUGAGUGGAAUUCCUGGUGUAGCGGUGAAAUGCGUAGAUAUCAGGAGGAACACCUGUGGCGAAAGCGGCUCACUGGACCAUAACUGACGCUGAUGCACGAAAGCUAGGGGAGCAAACAGGAUUAGAUACCCUGGUAGUCCUAGCCCUAAACGAUGACUGCUUGGUGUGACGGGUA